rnacentral:rRNA from 1 species
UACGUAGGGCGCAAGCGUUAUCCGGAAUUAUUGGGCGUAAAGAGCUUGUAGGCGGUUUGUCGCGUCUGCUGUGAAAUCUCAAGGCUCAACCUUGAGCUUGCAGUGGGUACGGGCAGACUAGAGUGUGGUAGGGGAGACUGGAAUUCCUGGUGUAGCGGUGAAAUGCGCAGAUAUCAGGAGGAACACCGAUGGCGAAGGCAGGUCUCUGGGCCGAUACUGACGCUGAGGAAGCGAAAAGCGUGGGGGAGCAAACAGG